UAUUUGUUUUAUCUAGCAAAUGACCUUGAAAGAGUGUGUUCAGACACUGCCUGAGCUGUUUCUAUAAUAAAUGAACUGUAACUCCAUAUGUCCAGUUCUGGAGUCUUUCUGCACACUUCAGUGAAAGUCCGUGGAACGACUGCAGGGUUCCCAAAGUUUUUAUGCCACAGCACAGAAGUGGCCGCGGCCUGGCAAACAUGGCCCAGCAGUUACAGCCAACUGCAGCUAGAAUUUCCAGCCAGAAGACAGACCCUGUCUUCAAAAAAGAGCUAAGGAUAAAGAAGUGCCUCUCACGAAGGUUUUUCAUUUAAGUUUCUGUGUCACAGAUACAUUAUGAACAAUAUUGAUUUUUCUGACCUCAGUCAAGCAGCAUGAAGACUUGGCUUAGAUUCAUCUUUACCUUAUAUUUGUCAUAAAUCUUAGAUGUGCCAAUAUUCUAUAUUUGAAUGCUUUGUGCACAUUAGCAAUAUUGUAAAAUCAUAUUGUAUUAAGUGACAAACCACUAAAUUUAUUGCACAAUGGGUUCAUCUUAGCACUACAUACAUUAUGAAUAAUAAAACACUUAUUGAUCCUAAUGACAGAUUAUUACAACAUUCAUUUUUAGUUGAGCCAGGGCAUUUUCCCAAUUGAUAUUGUACAGAUAUUUGCUAAAACAGCACAGCCACAGGAAGCUUUCCUUAUGCUAUAAUGAUGUUGUUCAUCAUAAUUAUGUUGUGUCAGCACACACAUAUAGGUCAAUUUAAGUUCAGAAAGAUAGGAUUAUAUAUUCUUCUCAGUGUGUGCAUGCUGUUUAAAUGCUUCACUGCCUCUAAAACUAACAGUAGUUACAUGUAUACAGUAAAUAAUCCCUGUUCAAUGAAAUGAGAAUAUACUUGUCAUCCUUCUGGUUUAGAAAACAGAGUUGCCACAGAAAGUGCUGAGUGCAAUGCUGCACAAAUUUGAUGAUUCCAACACAGGGAUUAGCAUUGUUAAAAUGAAAUCACUGCACGAUUUGAGUAAUUAAAUGUAUUUGAAAUUUUGAGUUACCUCAACGUAUUAAUAUUGGUGGUGAAUGUAUGUUAGAGACAUAAAACAGUUCUUAGGAAAGCUGCAGUCUUUCUGAAAUUGUGCAGGAGAAAAUGUCAUUUUUUUACUGUAUGUAGACUUGUCUAGUUACUUUUGUAAUUAAUUUUGAUAGUUGCACUUCCUUUCAAAAUAUGCCAUGAAUAAUCUGCCUGUUGGCUAAAAGAUAGGAGGGUCCAUCUUUAAUUCAAUGGAUGUGAUAUUUGUGCAUAUAAUUGUCACUGGUAUUGAAUAUAAAUUGUCUUGCUUCCCUGAUGUGCAGACAAGUUUCCAGGGUGCAUGCACAUUGUUAUUGAAUGUGUGUGUUUAAUUUUGUCCUGCAUAUUUUGAGGUGUGAUACUUUUUCUUGGCAAUUUCCAGUUUUCAUAAAUAUACAUUCAUCCAAAUAAUUUAUUAUUAUUAUUGUUAUUGAAAAGAUAAAAAAUAGUGAUAGGUGAAAAAAAAGGGGGAAAAUGAGCCUAAGAAUGAUUGUCAUUUCUGUCAUGUAUUGCAGUACAAUCUGCCUGCUAUACAAUGAUUCACAAUAAGAGGGUGUAGAAACAAUGUAAGAGGCUUUAAAUGUGCUGCAGUGAUAAUGAUGGCAAUAGAUGCUUUAAACCAUGAAACUGUCUUUGCAUUGCUUUGAAACAGCCAAUUAACUAACAUUCCAUAUUGGCUUAAGUGAGCUGAUCAAAUGCCAAAUCACUCCAUCAAUCCUUAGUUUGCACUCUGGUUCUCUAAAGGUGAAUGUAUUGUCUUCUUUCAUUGAACUGAAUGGUUUCAGUUGUUGAUAUGUAUAAAAGAAAAAGUAUAAUCAAACUAGAUAAGUAGAUUUUAAAUUAGUUCUCAUUUCUUUAACAAGCAGUAGGCACUACUUUGUUUUGCAAGCAAAACUAAUGAAUAAUUUUUGGGUGAUUGGUCACUGUCACUCCUCCAAAUAAGACUGAUUUCUUGAAGAAAAAUUAUGGACACAAACCACAGUAUGUUCUCUGUCUUUUUUUUCCUUUGAACUCAGUAAGAUUUCAUACAUUCUUAGCACUCAGCGCAUUAGAAAAGAUCAGCAUUAUUUCAAACUAUAAAAAUCCAUGGGGUGGAGAUUCAAUUUGCAUUACUGUCUAUAUCCCCCACCAAUACUGCCUGUAAUUCAAAAUGACCCUGUUUUUUUUACCCGGGAAGCUUAUUUUGAAGAACAGCAUUUAACUUAACAGUAGUCAGUAUUUGGGAAUUUUAUGCAUACAGGUCUCAGAUAAUUGUCUAUACUGAUGAAUAUCAUUUUGGCUGACUCACAAGCUGAUUGGACGUGUGCCCAAGGGCAUAGGUGCCAGGCAAAGAUGAUUUUACUAGAACAGUUUGCAUAACAAGCAACUGUCAUCUCAUUAGCAAGCAUAGGCAUUUUUGCCACACGCUGUUUAACACAUCAUCACACCUGUUCACACUCCAUUGUCCUAAGGAUGGAGUUAGGCAGCUUUUUGUUGACUUUAUUUUUUUCAUUUCUCACUGAUGUUGGUCAUCCUGUGCCAAAGAUUCAGAAGUGUGAGAUAAAUGCAAUUUACACUUUAGUAUGUGGGUGUGAGAGAGAUGCUGGGGGCAAAGGUGGGGGGUGGUAAAGGGCAUGAUUAUGUUUGCAAUAGUGACCAGCAGCAGUGGCUUGUUCUAUCUUAUACCUUCUCCUACCUGCUGGCUACUGUUCUUGCCAUUACUGCGUCUGCUCCUUUAGCAUGUAAGCUACAGAUACAGCUAUAGCCCAAAGAUUGGGAAAAUUACAAUCUCACAAAUAAAUCUGUUAUAAAGACACCCAAUUGCCCCUUUUGGAGUUGGACUACAUAGAAAGAAAGUUAAUAUGAUAACAUUGAGUUCAGCUCAAGGGAGGCAGCUAUAGCUAGUUAACCCUUACUCAGAAAAACCAGCAAUGGCUAACUGAUGUGGUUCAAGUAAAGCAUCGCUAUGCUGUUCUGUUAACUUAGGGUUACUUUACAUCUGGGUUUUUCUGGACAUGUCCUCUUUUUGGGUCCUCCCAUCUCUGUUCGGGCAGUUUUUUAAAAUAUCAGUAAAUGUCCAGGAUUUUACUAUGUCUCUGCUUUCCUGGCACUUCCUGGCUUGCCCCAGCAAGAAGCUGCUUAGGGCUGGGGGGAACGAGGGCAUCUGCUCACAAGUCCUGGCACCUGCAGCCAGGGCUUGGGGAAAGAGAGAGAGAGAGAAAGAGUGUGUGUGUGUGUGUGUGUGUGUGUGUGGCAGGCACCUGUCAGUGCCAGGGCUGCAGCAGAAGGCAGGUAGU